GACGUAGGGUGCGAGCGUUUGUCCGGAUUUAUUGGGCGUAAAGAGCUCGUAGGCGGUCUGUCGCGUCGAAUGUGAAAACCCGGGGCUCAACUCCGGGCUUGCAUUCGAUACGGGCAGGCUAGAGUUCGGUAGGGGAGUCUGGAAUUCCUGGUGUAGCGGUGAAAUGCGCAGAUAUCAGGAGGAACACCGGUGGCGAAGGCGGGACUCUGGGCCGUAACUGACGCUGAGGAGCGAAAGCGUGGGGAGCGAACAGG
rnacentral:rRNA from 1 species